AGAACGAACGCUGGCGGCAUGCCUAAUACAUGCAAGUCGAACGAACUCUUCGGAGUUAGUGGCGCACGGGUGCGUAACGCGUGGGAAUCUGCCCCUUGGUUCGGAAUAACAGUUGGAAACGACUGCUAAUACCGGAUGAUGACGAAAGUCCAAAGAUUUAUCGCCAAGGGAUGAGCCCGCGUAGGAUUAGCUAGUUGGUGAGGUAAAGGCUCACCAAGGCAACGAUCCUUAGCUGGUCUGAGAGGAUGAUCAGCCACACUGGGACUGAGACACGGCCCAGACUCCUACGGGAGCAGC
rnacentral:rRNA from 1 species